rnacentral:rRNA from 1 species
GUAGGUGGCAAGCGUUGUCCGGAAUUAUUGGGCGUAAAGCGCGCGCAGGCGGUCCUUUAAGUCUGAUGUGAAAGCCCACGGGCUCAACCGUGGAGGGUCAUUGGAAACUGGGGGACGUUGAGUACAGAAGAGGAAAGCGGAAUUCCAAGUGUAGCGGUGAAAUGCGUAGAGAUUUGGAGGGAACACCAGUGGCGAAGGCGGCUUUCUGGUCUGUAACUGACGCUGAGGCGCGAAAGCGUGGGGAGCAAACAGGAUUAGAUACCCUGGUAGCCCACGCCGUAAACGAUGAGUGCUAAGUGUUAGGGGGUUUCCGCCCCUUAGUGCUGCAGCUAACGCAUUAAGCACUCCGCCUGGGGAGUACGGCCGCAAAGGCUGA